AAAUCAAAUCAAAAGAAUUACAAUUGAAUUUUGUUAAUUCCACAAAUGGGCAAAUAACCAAAACGUCAACCUUGUCAAUAUACACCACCACUCUAGAUAUUUUACAUUUGCGGUCUCUAGCCUUUAUAGAUAAACCAACGCAACACAUAUCAUAUAUAACGUGUGUGGAAUUUAUUUUUCUGGUUUUUCAAAUUCAAAAUCCAAGAGAUUGUCAAGAGAGAAUGUUACAAAAUCACUGAGAUACAAAAAAUAAACAACAAAAAUUCUAUUCAGGUCAGAAGUGAAUUCUAUACACAACUUGGUUCAUGCAAUUCUGACAGUUCUCUAUAAUAAGAGAAUGCUGGAAGAAAACAGAUCCACUGUAAAUUGUGUUCUGCUUCAAGAAGACGCGACGCGGAGGCGAUAGGAACACGUUUCUUCUCCGAAGAGAGAUCAAUGUUCCAAAAAUAGAAAACAAGUGGUUGAUGGGGACUUGGGGUUGCCUGCCUUUGCCUUUGCCUGCCUGUGCUCUCCUCUGAGUUAAUAAGAAAUAAUAACACAAAGUCACACAGCCAAUUGUCGAAAUCAAAAAAUUGAAACAAAGACAAAAGUGACAACCACAAUGACACAACGUCGGUCGUUUUCGUUAAAA